rnacentral:tRNA from 1 species
GGGCCCGUAGCUCAGUCUGGUUAGAGCGCUUGUCUUAUAAGGCAUCUGAGCGUAAAAGCAAGUGGUCCUGGGUUCAAAUCCCAGCGGGCCCA